UACGUAGGGUGCGAGCGUUAAUCGGAUUUACUGGGCGUAAAGCGUGCGCAGGCGGCCCGUUAAGCCAGGUGUGAAAUCCCUGGGCUCAACCUAGGAAUUGCGCUUGUGACUGGCGGGCUCGAGUACGGUAGAGGGGGGUGGAAUUCCUGGUGUAGCAGUGAAAUGCGUAGAGAUCAGGAGGAACACCGAUGGCGAAGGCAGCCCCCUGGGCCUGUACUGACGCUCAUGCACGAAAGCGUGGGGAGCAAACAGG
rnacentral:rRNA from 1 species